AUACGGAGGAUCCGAGCGUUAUCCGGAUUUAUUGGGUUUAAAGGGUGCGCAGGCGGGAGAUUAAGUCGGCGGUGAAAUUUUGCAGCUCAACUGUAAAAGUGCCUUCGAAACUGGUUUCCUUGAGUGUAGAUGAAGUAGGCGGAAUUUUUGGUGUAGCGGGGAAAUGCAUAGAUAUCACGAGGAACUCCGAUUUCGCAGGCAGCUUACUAAACUACUACUGACGCUCAGGCACGAAGGCGUGGGGAUCAAACAGGAUUAGAUACCCUGGUAGUCCACGCAGUAAACGAUGAUUACUAGCUGUUUGCGAUACAAUGUAAGCGGCUGAGCGAAAGCGUUAAGUAAUCCACCUGGGGAGUACGUUCGCAAGAAUGAAACUCAAAGGAAUUGACGGGG
rnacentral:rRNA from 1 species